GAGCAGGAGAUAUCCUGUCAGCUUUGAAUCCUGCUGGAAAAGGUUGAGGAAACCCGAGCGAUAAAGCAGAAGUUACUGGAGCAGAGCAGAAUUGUUUGUAGACGAGGCCCAUGACAGCUGAGAGGUCCCUCGGGAGCCUGCCGUGUCACAGCCUCUACUAAGUCAGUGGCGAUGUGGAACAGCA